CUGUGUGUUACGCCUUGUCAGAUAGUUUAAAUUGUUUGCUUAUAAACCAAGCCUACUGUCUUAUGUCUAUCUGAUACCUAUAUACUAACUCAGAGUUUCAUCUACAUAUACAUUGUUAAUGACGGACUGUUAAUUGUUAAUAAUUGCGGAUGUUACAGACUGCUCUCCCUAGGUUGGGAAAAACAAUCUACUUUGUGAACUUAGUUAACACAAAAUCAAUAAAAGUGAAUUGAAGAAAAAAAAUCUGAAUGAUUUUUUGGGAUAAAGCUUUAUCAAAUGC